rnacentral:piRNA from 1 species
UGUCACAGCCUGUACCCUUUACCCUAC